ACGAACGCUGGCGGCGUGCUUAACCCAUGCAAGUCGAACGGUGAAGCGCCUUCCUUUUUGGUGGGUGUGGAUGAGUGGCGAACGGGUGAGUAACACGUGAGUAACCUGCCCCCUUCUUCUGGAUAACCGCAUGAAAGUGUGGCUAAUACGGGAUAUUCUGGGUCUGUCGCAUGAUGGGUCUGGGAAAGAUAUUGUUUCGGUGGGGGAUGGGCUCGCGGCCUAUCAGCUUGUUGGUGGGGUGAUGGCCUACCAAGGCGGUGAGGGGUAGCCGGCCUGAGAGGGUGGACGGUCACACUGGGACUGAGACACGGCCCAGACUCCUACGGGAGGCAGCAGUGGGGAAUAUUGCACAAUGGGCGCAAGCCUGAUGCAGCGACGCCGCGUGAGGGAUGGAGGCCUUCGGGUUGUGAACCUCUUUCGCCAGUGAAGCAGGCCUGCCUCGUUUGUGGGUGGGUUGACGGUAGCUGGAUAAGAAGCGCCGGCUAACUACGUG
rnacentral:rRNA from 1 species